rnacentral:rRNA from 1 species
AGCGAACGCUGGCGGCAGGCUUAACACAUGCAAGUCGAGCGGGCACUUCGGUGUCAGCGGCAGACGGGUGAGUAACACGUGGGAACGUACCCUUCGGUUCGGAAUAACGCUGGGAAACUAGCGCUAAUACCGGAUACGCCCUUUUGGGGAAAGGUUUACUGCCGAAGGAUCGGCCCGCGUCUGAUUAGCUAGUUGGUGGGGUAAUGGCCUACCAAGGCGACGAUCAGUAGCUGGUCUGAGAGGAUGAUCAGCCACACUGGGACUGAGACACGGCCCAGACUCCUACGGGAGGCAGCAGUGGGGAAUAUUGGACAAUGGGCGCAAGCCUGAUCCAGCCAUGCCGCGUGAGUGAUGAAGGCCUUAGGGUUGUAAAGCUCUUUUGUCUGGGACGAUAAUGACGGUACCGGAAGAAUAAGCCCCGGCUAACUUCGUG